rnacentral:lncRNA from 12 species
UACAGCCUUGGCCUUGGCUCCACAUCUAUGAUGGGAAAAUAAGACCAAAUGAUAUAAUAUGACCGGAUGCUGUGGACCAGUGUUAGAUAUGAGAUAUGAUCUAAAGCUGCAACUUUUUGAGGUGUGGAAGUAGAGGGGAGAAGAUAGAGCUACAGAGCUGCCUGGGAGUUACUCUAUUCCAACGCUGAUGCUCACUCCUAAACUUCCUUACCCUCUUGUGAUUCCGGAUUGGUUUGGGUGAGUGAGGAGCAAAAGGGCAGCGCUCUGGGGAGAUUAAUAAUAAGGUCUGAAGGAUGAAGAUCAAAGAGCAGCUUUGGCGGCAG